ensembl:lncRNA
GCCUCGGAGCAGGGUGGGGUGGAGGGCUACGGGGCAUCGGCAUUUUUUUCAUGCUCCCCCCCAAGCGAUUCCAGCGUGCACGCAAGUUGGAGAAAUGGUGCUUUUGGAACAGCCCUCGGCUCCAACGCUAAAGUCGAUUUGGGGAGCAGCAACUCUUUUCUCCUCCUAGGACUAGCUGCUGGGGGAUUCGGGCAGGCUCUCCAGAGGAACCAGCCAGUGGAGGAUGUUUGCGUGCGAGCGAUCUGGCGUCCAGCUGUGCCCCGAGGCCCAGCUUGGAGACGGCGGGUCUCCAGGUCCCCGCAGGCAACGACACGUGCGGCCGCUUCGACCUGUCUGGUUAUCUACCGAGACCGCCAGCCGACCUCGGCGGCCGCCGCGCGGCCCACCCAGACCACAGAGGUUCGCAGGAAACGCCCGGGGCUCGGGAAUUCCUACCUUGGCUGCCGGCGCUGCUCUCCGGUCCCCGGAAUCCUGCCACUCCGCUGUGCUCUGAGGAAGGGUUAUUUAACUCCGGCCCCCGCGGAUCAGCCGCACAGACCCCACUCACCUCGGGGCCUCCCAGGGCACUCGCCCUCUGCGUCCGACUGAGAUGGGGUGCCACUCCAGCAAGAGCACCGAGGUGGCGGGGGAGCCCCAGAAACCCGCAGAGCAGCCCGAGGGAGAGGAGCCAAAUCUGGGGGCUGGCCCAGAGGGCGCGGACGGCAGAGACACCUCGUUGAAGGACGGCGCCCCGGAGCAGAAGAACUGAGAUGCUUCGCUGUGGAUUCGCGGACCCUCACCUCAGCCCUGGAACUGCCUUUGGCCAGUGAAACUCGAGAGGAGCCCCGUCCCGAGAAGCUCCAAGGAGAAGGAGGAGAGGGAAAUCCCCGCCUUGGGGAUCCAGGCUGCGGAAGUCACCUUCACCAGGCUUUGCUCUGGAGCUGUGAGGGGUCGCGGCCCGGGUAGCCCUAUUUCCCCAGCUCCCCGAUAGACAGAGAGGAUGAAAGAAGUCAUCUCACAUGAUGGGACUUUUCCCUGAGCCCCCUGGCUGACUGACUGCUCUGACUGAUCAAUCUCUGCCGCUGAGAUGUGCCGGUCCUGUGACCCCCAUCCUUCCAGUGCUUCACUUCUCUGGACUCUGAAGGCUCUCUGGCCACGGUGUUGAUGGGGACGUGUGGCUGGCAGUUUCUGGUUUUGCUUUCCCUCCCUCUCCUUUUUCUAAUAGCAGUCUGAAUAGCCAGUGCCUCUCACAGGAAGCUUUGGGGUUUGGCUCAGUCCACACUGUUCGUUUGAACACUUCAAUAUUUAACUUGCAGAAUGGUUAAUGAGUUAUGGGGACAAUCAGAAUCAGACUGUGAUCAUGGCGAUGGAAGACAACAAGGCCUUGAUCAUCCAGUAAGUGGAACGCUGAGUACUGGUGGGAAGGAAGGAGGAGGGUUUCAUGUUCCUGGUGUUUUAAUCCCCAGAAAAAUGCCCCUCUACUGAUGUUCCUGUGUCUCUUCCUGUCAAUUUGAACACUCGAGCGUUUGAGCCCUCUGUAUCCAGCCUUUGGAAAUAUUUCGCUGUUUACUCACAUGUCUGUCAGCCUCUCUUUUCCCCCUCCUUUCAUGUGUUUUGCUUUUAAUGUGACUCAGAAGCAUUUUAAUUUGAAAUCAAACAGACAUGUUUGCAAAUAAAUGAUGACACAACACGUUUGAAAGACAGGACUGGGGAGCUGAG